CCCCGUUGUCCACAUCUGCUGGCAUUGAUAGCAGGAAUAUUUAAAAAUAAAUAAGCCAGUCCUCUCGAUGGAUGAAUGAGAGUCUUGCACCCAGGAAAAAACGGAGAAAAACCUGCAGAAGAAAAGGGAACAUGCAGGAAACCAGUUUUCCUUCUGACUGCCUACAGACCACGACGAAGUUCUACUCUGCUCCUUACCAGGCAUUCCAGGCUUUGCUACUUGCAUCAGUGAUGGCUUGGUGUAGAAAGAAAAGCCAACAAGCUCCAGAGUACUCACCAGAAAUUGUGCCCUACUCAAGUCAGGAUGCAAUACUUGCCUUAGUAAUUUUCUCCCUCUUCUCCUUUCUGCCGAUGUGAAUCUACAAUGUUUGGAGGAUGCAAGCCCUGAGUAUGAACAGUAGGCAACCUCUUGUUUGUGUGAUGAGAACCAUAAUUUUGAGGAACUUGGUUUCCUUUGAUGGGAUCUAAAUUCAUUCAUCAGAUGAGAAUAAGAGUAAGAAGAGAGGUAAAGAAACGUCUUACUGGGGGAGAUGAAUCUAGCUGUCCCCAAGUGAGGACCCAAGACACUACUUGGGAGAACUGCUUUACCAGCUCCAUCUGCCCUCUCCUGUCCAGAGACCACAACCGCUGCUUUGGAAGGUCAGUGGGCACAUCCAUCCCUGCCUGUGCCUCCAGUGUUUUUCUGUGGGCCCAUUCUCCCUUUUUGCCUAAUCUUUUCUGGGCUUUACUGGUACUACCUGCAUCGGCAGCCUCCUGUGCCAAGAAAUUCCACAAGUUUAUUACCCGUGGUGUAAAAAUGUGCUUUUAUAUGUUUUAAACAAACAUCACAGAAGAAAGAUUUUCUCACUUAGUUUUUUUAAAGUCUUUUUGUUUUGCAGUUUCAUGGUAGGCAUUUAUAUUGAUAUUGACUGACUCACCAAAUACAAUAAUGUGUAUGAAAUUAAAUUGUCUAGCAAUUAUUUAGAUGCAAGUGUUUUUUCUGCACCACUCUAUAAGUCAAUUGCGUAUCUGCAUAUGCAAUUUAGCACAGAAGAUAGAUCCAGCUAAAUGGAAAAUAAAAAAGGCAGAGAAAUUAGAAAGUCUCACUGGGGAAGAAAAUAUAAACAAUAAAUUAAUAAUACCAUUAAUGAACUUCCAAAUUUACAUCUGCAGUGCUGCAAACACAAAUAUUUGUAACAUGUACUUAGGUUGGGUAUUAUGUACCUCAUUUGGAAGCAGUAAAAUUCAGGAAUUUACAAAGUACCUGUUAGAGAUCUUGUCACAAGCUUUAAGAUAAUGCAAGAAUAAAAUGCUGUUCCUGGCUGCACAAAGGAAACGGGUUUUACACAUGCAGCUCCACUGAUGUUUACAGAAAACCUUUACAAGCCUGCUAUCAUCCUACUGAUUUUGAAUACUAAUUUCAGGAAUCUGGUAGUCAGUUAAAGCAAUAAACACAGAGCUACUGCAUAUGCCCAGGUUGUCUUUACUGUGCGUGUGUGGUAGGUCCAGUAUGGACUCUCUCUAUAGGUAACCAACAGGUUCUUUUAUUUAAUUUUAGAUACCAGUCUACAUUUUAUCAAUAGCAGCUAAUGAACAGAGAAAGAUGAGAAAGCUGGGGAUAACAGCAAGCAAGAAAGGCCUUCAGGGCAGGAAAGGAUACUUUUAAGUGGACUCUGAAAUGAAUUGAGAGGCAAAUUGAGAAGAUGGUUUAAUAGAGAGAGAAUUUUCUCAGCUAGGGAAUUCCUCAUCUGAACUCUCUUGCCCGUUUCUGCCUCCUUCCAUUCCCAAUGUUCUCAUUCUCUUCGCUUUCUCUCCAUCCUAUUUACAAUCUUCUUUCAGCUGACAGGGCGUAAAGUUCAUUUUAACUGUAGCAGCCAGUGAGGUUUGGGCAUCACAGUCCCUAUUGGGCAUUCCCUUCAUAGAGGGACCUGGCAUUCAUACUUUUUGCAUGUGACAUGCCUGAUGUUUCUUCAUAAGGUUGCUGCUUUUUGAUCUAUGUGAAGAGCCAUACAGCAGGAAAUUCACGGAGAAUUAGAAGUUGCAACAGUUAAGCUCAGAAUUACAGUAAGGAGAUUAUCAAAAAUGGAAUCAAGAUCCUGUCAGGCAGAGUCUUUGAUACGGUGAACUUCAGAGAACUUUAGGAACAUUAGAGGACAGAACUCAAAAGCAGUAAGGAAAGGAAAAUAAAAUGUUGUGAAUAGACAGCUUUGAAAAAAGAAUGCAGAGAUAAUAAGGCUUCAUCUUGUAAUGAAUGAGCUCAUGUCUCUCUAUGACAUUUAACUGAAGGAAAUUUUCAAAGUCACAAAGCAUCCUGUAUUAAAAGUGCUAAAAGAUGGCUUUUAUCAAAAAAUCUUCAUAAAACUGUGAAGAUCACAAGGCCAUCUUCUUCUGUGCACCUGCAGUACAUGCAAAAACUUCAUGAGCACAGACACACGAUGUCCACUGCUUGUCCACCUAUCAUCAAUUUGUUGGGAUAGAACUCAAAUGAUAAAGAAGAGAUUUUAAAAAGUUAUUGAAAUUAGAGAAACCACGCUUGUGAGGAGACAGGAGUAGGCAGCACUUUAAAGUUCAUCUUAUGUGGAGUGCAGUAAGGAAGCAACAAGGGACAAUGUAAAUGAGAUUCAGUGACUAAUUUCCCCAGUGGUGGAACUCCUACACACUUCGACUGCAGAUCAGUAAGAAUAUACAUGGUAGAAGAGACAUCCAUGUUAAAUAAUGCCAAUGGGGAGGAAAAAGUCAAACUGGUUUCAGAAACAGGUAUGGGAAUUUGCAGGCUACCGGCAACAAGCAGGCAGGAGGGAAAGAGGAGGCACUCGUGGGAGUCCAAAACAGGAGACACGGAGGGAAUCAGCACUCCCAGUAAGGAGAGACUAGUCUUCUCCUACUGAGAUUGUUUCACAAUGCCAGCAGUGAUUAUUGAGCC